UGGCCGAAUUGCUGAUUCUCUGAAUCAGAAUUGAAUCUUUAGAUUUGGAUUCAGUCGAAUCAAAUCGGGACAGUGAUCCAAAUCAACUAAUCAAAUCACUGUCCCACAAAUCAGGCUGAAUCUGAAUCAAAUACGGCCUGCCUCGCACACCAGUAAUAACUACAUCUUAGCACUGCAGGACUUCACUUAUCCAACGAAAGAGAGUUCCUUUUCCUCUCUAAAUACAUUUACCUUCCUCAGAGAUUAAUUUUAUAGGGUCAAACUCUGGAAUCUUUGUAGACAGCAGUUCCCUUUUCAGUAUUGAUGAAUUACAAACUUUCUUAUUCUGUCCUCAGUACAGUGACUGCAGCUAAGGCUAAUGGGCACUGUACUGUGCUUCUUUCUAGCAUACUGAUGGCAUGCUCAUGAAAGAAUUAGAGAUGGAAUUUGGUCAGUCAUUAUUUAUUUCCAGAGCUGGUCAAAAAUUGGAGGAAGAAAAAGGUAGAUUUGGGUUAACUGAAACAUGCUUCAGUGAUUUCACCCAAUAGUUUCAGUCCAAAGAGCAAAAUACCAAAAAAAGGUUCUGACUUCUUCAGAAUCUAGCAUUUGGAUAUUUAUAGUUUUUCAAAAUAGCUGUUAAACUAAAAAAAAAAAAAAGCUAUUUGCUUUUCUCUACUGCUGAUUAUACCUGGAGAUUUUUUUUAAUAAAACUUUCCCUACAUAUAUUGCAUACAUAAUUUUCUGACACACAAAUAUUGGACACAAUAAAAAAAGUUAAAGUUCCAACCCUUUUUUUCUACUUUCAGUCACAGAACUCUGAUUUGUGCAUCUUUUCCUUUGUAUCAGUCUCUAUUGAUCACUGUGAAGUCUAGUGCCCAUUGGGUACGCCAUACUCUUCCCUUUAGCAUUCUGUUCUAAUAUCCGGAACAGAUGGUCCCAAGAAAAGCACCUGAAUUCAAGGUAAAAAAUCAGCAAGUAUAAAAUAUGAAUUAAGCCCUUAAUAUAAAGAACUUGAUACAAUAUUUUUAGAAUUCAAAAACCUUUCUGCCCAUUGUAGACAACUCACUCUCCCUCACUAUAGCACUCUGACAUCUCCAGAGUCCUGAAGAGCACAGAAUAGGAACAUUUAUAGUUUCUUCUUCCUUUGUUUUUAAAGUGCAUGACACACACGCUUCAGCUGAAGCAGAUCAGUAGCCCCAUCAAAGUGACCAGAAAUACUUGUUGUAUCUUUAAGAAGCUGUAUUAUUUCAGAUCACAGUCAAAUCUACCCACUGGACAUCAGAAAGAUAAUAAGGACAGGAUAGGGCAGUCAAGACUCUCAUCAAGAAUUAUUUUAGAGUUAUUUGGAUUUCUCCCAUGUAAGCAUGGUACAUUGCCAUUUCCAGUGAUUUAAUCAGUAUCAGAACAACAUAUCAACGUGAGCAGUAAUGUUAUACCGGUUAUCCAUCCUUCCCUUUCACCUUUUUCUUUUCUGUAUUCAGUUCCAUCUAUCCCUUUUCAACAGUACUUGAUAGUGUAGGAUGAUUAUCCAGGUCUCCCUUUCCAUAGGGCUGGAUCUCCCCCAGUCUAUCUGUGCACCAUUUACCAUCCACCUUACACAAAUAGCUUGGUGGGAUAAGUGAUCAUCAGUCUUUCCUUGUACACAAAUCAAUCUAUGCAUCUAAAAAAAUCCUUUGUGGAAAAAGGCCAUUCCCUUAUUACAAAAUAAGGAAGCAAAGAGAUUCAAUUAUAUCUUUACCUUAAUAAUCCCUCUUUCUUUCACCUCAUAAGAAAACUUUAAUAUUUUGCUUCCAUUUUAUACAACUCCACUUGCUGCAGUGAAUUAAUUUUGUCCAAGAGCAAAACACCAUUUCCUGCAGUUUUUCUAGUCUCCCAUAUACACACUUCACAAAAUUAGUUCAGGAAGUAAACUCAUUUCCACCUUUUCUCCUAUGAUAAAGGCUGGAUCAGGGUUGAGGUUUUGAUGCAAAAAAAUGGUUUUCAUUAUACAUAUACCACAUAGUUUUAAAAAUAAGAAGGAACCUUGCUACUUACCUCUCCUGUUGUUUUCUCCAUGAUCCUACACAUCUCCAUGCUGGACAUGAUAACAGGAACAUAAGCCAUGCUUCACAAUCUCAGAGCAGAAAUCUGCCAUCCACAACUGGAAAGGAAAAGAACAAAGGCCUGCCAAAUAGCUCUGCAAGCACCAGUUGGGAGGAAAUUAGAGAACUCAUCACUGAGAGCAGGCUGAUCUGUCCUUCAGCAAUCCUCCCACUUUCUUUGAAGGAACAGCUGUUCCUUCCUAGGCUGACAGAUACUGUGGGGAGAAGGCAGAAAUAGCUUCCUCCUGCAGAACCAUCUUUCAGGGUAUGAAUUCUUCCUCCUUUUGACAUCAAUUAUAUCAGAAGCAAGAGGAAGGACUUUGCUGGCUGAACUGUGAAAGGAGGCUCUGCACCAAUUCAAAGCAAGAACUUCCCAAGAAGACUUAUAGGGGUGACGAGAAGAGAAUAUUUACAUCUACAAAGAUCUGGAAAUUUAUGGGGCAAGGCAGAGAAGCUCCUUCCUGCAAAAGUCCUUGCGCAGCUAUGUGGAAGACCCAAGCGAUGACAGAAGCCAGCAGCAUGCAGAGAAUCUUUUCCUGAGCAAUGCCCUCCCCUUUGUCCUUCAAAUGUCCACCUCCAUGUUGGCCUUUAAUUUGCUAAGGCAAAGUAAGGAAGGAAGGAAGCUACUCUCUCAUCUGUAAGACAGGGCAUGACAAAUGCCCUGCUCUGACACAAAGACAUACAAAAAACUAGAACUCUUGGUUCCAAAAUGAUACCUUUUAUUAGACCAACUGGAAAACGGCAAGAAAACUCCUUUUCUGCAACCUUUCGGGAUCAAAGUCCCUUCGUCAGGCUCUGGGAAAAGUGUAGAUGGUACAAGAUGGUAAUAAGUCCCCAUAGGUCGGAAAUAAACUUAAAGGUAUCAUUUUGGAACCAAGAGUUCUAGUUUUUUGUACGUCUUUUUGUCUCAGACCAACACGGCUACCAGUACACCCCUACUCUGACACAGACUACAGUAAGUCAGCAGAAAGCAACUCUAGCUUCAAUAUACAUAAAAAGCUCAGCUCACCAAGCCCAUGAAGACUACAAGAUUACUCAAUUCCAAGUAAAGGUCAUUUUGCUUUACAGUUUCCCAAAAGUUACUGCCAUUUUUUGUUCUGGGCAACAAUUCUGACAUACUUUAAAUGUUGCUACUGUAAGUCCUUGUUUUGGCACCCAUGGAAAAGUAAAAGUUUUGUAAGUGCAUACAAAUUACCUUAUUAGUUCCAGCUGUGCAAGUUCCUGAUUUGCUUGAAAUAUUGGCUUUUUAGUAAAAAGCUCACCUAGGAUGCAUCUGUAAAAUAAAGGUUUACAUAAUUCCAUCAAUAUAACUGUUAGGAUCAGAGAGUUUCACUUUUGGUUCAUGGCUUACACUUCAUCUACUUUUGCAUUAAAAAUUCUUACCCACAGCUCCAUACAUCAAUAGCUGGUGUAUAUCUUUCCUCUCCAAGCAGUAGUUCAGGAGGCCGGUACCAUAAUGUAAUAACUUUGUUGGUAUAUGGUCGACUGGGGAAAAAAAGAGAGUUCAAACUUUAACUAUAGCCUCAAUGCAAGAAAAACAACAGUCUAGAUUUCUAAAAAAAUAAGUGAGAAAAGUAAAAUGUUCCACUUUCUGUAAUGUCCCUGUUACUAGUUUAAGUCCACCAUCAUCGCCGUCAUACAAAAAUAAACAAAAAGCUGCCUAAAUGAGUCUACCAAAAUACAGCCUGAAACAAUACCUCCUAAUCAUGAAAGACCAUCACCCACUUCGAUGCGACAAUAAAUCUAAAGGUUAACAAUAUUUAGUUAGCCUCUUUAGUUUUACCACACUCAGUUCUUCUCAGAUCCUCCUGGAUUUCAAGGUUAUUAACUGUAGCACUACCAGAUCUUCAAAACCAGCUCCCCAAGAAACCCACUAGAAUUCUACCAGACUGAAAACUGAAGGGUAUAUUAAAAUGACUAAAGAUAACAAUACAGCACCUUUUUCUUCUGUAUCUAAUGCUAUAAGAGUUUUUACUUUUGUCUUUACUUAGGAACCACAGAAGGAUUUCCGGUGUAAUACAGAAUUCAGUUGCUCAGGGCAUGUGGUAAUCAAUUCUGAUCUUCCUUCACUAAUUCCUUCAUCAAUAUUUUUUUUUAAUUAUGGAUGCUAACCUUAGAUUAUGUUUAACACCGUUUUAGAGCUCAGAUUCCAGUAUUUUACCAUGUGGACAGCACUGAUUUCAGCAUUGAAGAUAGCGAAUAUUCAGUAGGAAUUGCCUAUUUCAGCUUUCCUACUAUACAUUCUGGACCUCUGCAAAGUCCUAUUUCAGGUUGAAUAAAUUAUGCUCUGUUAGUGACAACAAUCAAGUUCAAACCACAAAUCCAUACAGGUACAAAGGAAUGCAUUUGAAUAACCUAAGUAUACUUCAAAUUAAACAAGAAUAUUGCAUGGUGCUGGCCAAGAUUGCCAGCUCCAAGAGGUUUCUAGGAAAACAACCUUUCUUAGGCUAAUGUUCUGCAUGGCUGCUACCACAAUAGUUACCUGCAGGGCAAAUGUCUCCUGAUAAGACACUGACCUACAAUGAGGACUUCAGUAUCAACUAAAAGGAGCGAUGCCCAUGCACUGAAGUCAUCAGUCACCUUCUAAAAGUGUGCCACAAGCAUGGACAUUUAUGCCAAAGAAACAGAUUAAAAAAAAAAUAAAUAAAAACUUAAAUGCCACAGGAGUAAUGCCACCGACAAACGCUCUUUUAAAGCUAUAAUAGAAUCUGAUCCCAACAAUUGUGUCUCCUGCCAUGCCAGCCACACAUGCAAUUCAGGGAUCAGAGAUCAGACCCCAUUCAUGCUUGCCAGUGCAGGAGGAACACAGGCUCCCGAGCUGAAAUCUAGGUACCCCACAAUCAGCCAAAUGUCAGUUGGCACUGGAGUCUAGAACCAGUUCUGAUGUGAUUUCUGCCAGGCUGGCAAUUAGUUGAUUGGUGGCUGGAUCCAGUGAGGUCCCUAUUGGACCAACCAUCAAGCUCACAAUCUGUCAAAGCCAUACUCAAUAUUUUUUCAUAAUUUAGGGCAUGAUUUUUAAACAACCUAUCAAUACAAGGACUAGUGGUGAGUUGAGUGGAAGUCAGGUGAAUACAAACUAAUUCUAUUUUAUUAUAGACAACUCCUCCCUUUCCAUAUACAAAAAUCUAUGAAUUCACAAGCUGAGCACAGAAUUGAAAGUGCCUUUUAGAAAUACAAUUUGUAGCUUAUGUAAAAAUUCUAUUUUAAAUUGUGUUUGACAAAUGGAGAGUGUAAAUCUAGAAAUCACUGAAAAAAGUAAAACAUUCUAAAUCUCAAAUCCUUUUAAACGGCACAUAAUUAGGUCAGUAAAUCAAAUGUCAAAAUAUGGACAAGUGAAAAUUUAGAAAAGCUUAUAUAAUACAAUUGUUUAAAAGCACCCAGAAUCACUGCUAUUACUGCAGGUCAAAACCACACUCAGUAGGCACCUGACUGACGAAUCAACUGCCAAGAGCUAACCAGCUUCUUAUUAACCUUCUAAAAGUUAAUAUGCAGUUAUGUCAACCAACAUAGAUAGCUUUUAAUCUUCAUUAUGUUGAUAAAGUAAUAAUGUUGCUGUUUAGGUUUAUUCCAUCUGAAUUUUAAGUUUUGCCAUUCCCAAGCUAUAUAUUCUAUUAAUUAAGGAAGUAUUAACAAACACACCUGGUCUACACAUCAACACCAUCUGAUAAUGGCAACCACAGUAUCAAAACUUAAAGUUACACAAAAAUUAAAUAAGCCUGGCACACACUGAAUAGUACUGUGCUAGGGUUGCAUCCACCUGUCAGCUCAUUCACUUUGCAACAAGUGUCUCCAUGAAAAAACUACAUUUCCAAACAGUGGCUUGAAUUAUUCACCCUUAUUCACCCUGCAACCCUCCUUUCACAUGACAACUUGCAAAAUUGUCUUUCAGCAUCAAAUUUAUAUUCUCAACUUAAUGCAGCUAGCUAAACACAAUACACUGAAACCAACAACACUACCAUCAAAACAUGCUUGCUAGGAGUGUGCAAAACAGGCUGUAUUUGAUUCGGAUUUGGCCCGAAUUGGGUACAGAGAUUCUAUUUGUUGAUUCGGAUCACUGUCCUGAUCCAAUAUGGCCAAAUCCGAAUCUGAAGAUUCAAUGCUGAUUUGGAGAAUCAGCGAUUCGGCCAUAGACAGUUUAAAUGGUUCUUUUUACAUACUUCAAGGUACCAGCAUGGCUCAUGAACACUGCAAUGGUGGGGUGGAUGGAGCGUCCUGUAGGAGCAGGGGGGGAGGGGAAGAGGUCCCUUCCGGGUCCACUAGGGAGCAUGUGGGGGACACCCUCCCCCCACUCAGCGAUUGGCCAUGAGGGGACCCCAGGUACCCCCUCAGACCCAGGAGGCACCAGUUGCCAAGCAACUGGUGGUAGAGAGAGUGUCCCCAUGCACUCCCUGGUGGACCCUGGUGCCUCUGGUCCACUUCUGCGUUCGCUGCCAAGUGUGCUGGGAACCCCCUCCCCCUGUGCUCCCCUGGGACACUCCAUCUGCCCCAGCACCUCAGCAUUCACGAGCCACCUGGUACAUUGAGUUAUGUAGAAAAUACAUUUAAAGCUGUAUCUAUGAUCAAAUCGUCGAUUCUCUCCGAAUUGAUUUGGAAAGAUUAAAGGGCCUCCUGAUUCGAUUUGGAUUCGGAGAUCUGGCCACCGAAUUGGGCCGACUCUCCACUGAAUUGAAUCACCAACUGAAGCUUUGCAGAGCCCUAAUGCUUACCACUGGAAUCCAUAGUAAACAAUCAUGCUGUAUGGCAUCAACACCAUAGACCUCAUUUUCAAUAUCAGGUAUGCACCAAUCAAAUGUGUGUGUAUAACAUGUGUUCAAGUGUCCAAUGUGUAUUCCUUGUGAUGUAAACUACAGAUUUUUGUGAACCAGACCACACACUACCUUUCAUACAAGGUAAACUUUAAAUAAGCAUGAGACUAAGUGCAAAUCUUUAUAACAAAUUACUACUAUACCAUAUAAACUCUGCAGCUGUUUGCUUAAAUACAAACAGGAGCAGAGUUCAACUGUAACAUCAAACUCAUUUUAAAGUACUUCUUUUCACAAACUAAAGCAAAGCAAAUUUUUAUUCAAAUAAAACCAUUCCCAUAUCUGUUCUUCAAAGCUCACCAGACCUGUCUGCCCAGAGGACGAAAUUAAAAUACGCAGGUUGCAAUGGAUAAACUCAAUGCAAGCAAAAUGUUACUUUUUUCUUCCUAUUUGAACCCUUUCCUGGUGCAGAAAGACGUGGAUAAUAGUUUUUAAACUACAGAACAGAAAUAUUAUUUUAUGCAAUCAGGCAGACCAUUUAACACUGCAAUCUUUUGUUUCCAGUCAAUUUAGGUUGAAAAUAAAAGGAUUAACUGGGGUGUCACUAAUCCUUGGAGGUUUAAAGAAAGGACAUAAAACAACAAGUGAAUGCUCAAGUAAGAAGCCACCCCCCAACCAAUGGUAUUUUGAAACAAUUAGGAGGAAAAGAAACAAAAAAAACGCCAAUAUGUUUGUCAAACAUCUAAAAAGACAAAACCUUGGUAUCGCACAAACACAAUCUUCAGUUUUUAAAGCACCAUGACUACAGGUGUUCUUCAUUCUCUCCCCACUAAUCAUUUCUAUUGUACUCUGGCACUACCAACAGAAGAAUAAAAAAAAACGUUUCUCCUGGUA